AUGAGCUAUAAGACUCUUGAAUUUUCAAGAUUCUUAAGGGAUGAUAAUCUCUCAACCAUGGAGCAUAUCAUCUAAUUUUUUCUCUAAUGUGGUGAAGCCAGAGCUAGCAACUUUUUAAAACUCUAGCUAUUAAUUUGUAAAUUUGUUAACUAGAUCGGUCUUCACCUAGUAUAUAAAUUUGCUCUUGAAUUUUUUUUCACAUGGCA
rnacentral:lncRNA from 1 species